UGACAGUAGGGUGCAAGCGUUUGUCCGGGAAUUAUUGGGCGUAAAGAGCUCGUAGGCGGUCUGUCGCGUCGGCUGUGAAAACCCGUGGCUCAACCCCGGGCCUGCAUGUCGAUACGGGCAGACUAGAGUGCGGUAGGGGAGACUGGAAUUCAUGGUGUAGCGGUGAAAUGCGCAGAUAUCAGGAGGAACACCGAUGGCGAAGGCGGGUCUCUGGGCCGAUAAUUGACGGUGAGGAGCGAAAGCGUGGGGAGCGAACAGG
rnacentral:rRNA from 1 species